AGAGUUUGAUCCUGGCUCAGGAUGAACGCUGGCGGCGUGCCUAACACAUGCAAGUCGAACGAAGCACCCGCGCGGAUUCCCUCGGGAUGAAGCGCGGAUGACUGAGUAGCGGACGGGUGAGUCACGCGUGGGCAACCUGCCCCGUGCCGGGGGACAACAGCCGGAAACGGCUGCUAAUACCGCAUGAUCCGGGAGGGCCGCAUGGCCCUGCCGGGAAAGCUCCGGCGGCACGGGAUGGGCCCGCGUCUGAUUAGUUUGUUGGCGGGGUAACGGCCCACCAAGACUGCGAUCAGCAGCCGGCCUGAGAGGGCGGACGGCCACACUGGGACUGAGACACGGCCCAGACUCCUGCGGGAGGCAGCAGUGGGGAAUAUUGCACAAUGGGGGAAACCCUGAUGCAGCGACGCCGCGUGAAGGAAGAAGUAUCUCGGUAUGUAAACUUCUAUCAGCAGGGAAGAAAACAGACGGUACCUGACUAAGAAGCCCCGGCUAACUACGUGCCAGCAGCCGCGGUAAUACGUAGGGGGCAAGCGUUAUCCGGAUUUACUGGGUGUAAAGGGGGCGCAGACGGCCAUGGCAAGCCCGGUGUGAAAGGCAGGGGCAUAACCCCUGGACUGCACUGGGAACUGUCAGGCUGGAGUGCCGGAGGGGUAAGCGGAAUUCCUGGUGUAGCGGUGAAAUGCGUAGAUAUCAGGAGGAACACCGGCGGCGAAGGCGGCUUACUGGACGGCAACUGACGUUGAGGCCCGAAAGCGUGGGGAGCGAACAGGAUUAGAUACCCUGGUAGUCCACGCCGUAAACGAUGUAUACCAGGUGUCGGAUAUCAAGGAUAUCCGGUGCCGAAGCAAACGCAUUAAGUAUACCACCUGGGGAGUACGUUCGCAAGAAUGAAACUCAAAGGAAUUGACGGGGGCCCGCACAAGCGGUGGAGCAUGUGGUUUAAUUCGAAGCAACGCGAAGAACCUUACCAGGUCUUGACAUCCAGUGCAAACCUAAGAGAUUAGGUGUUCCCUUCGGGGACGCUGAGACAGGUGGUGCAUGGCUGUCGUCAGCUCGUGUCGUGAGAUGUUGGGUUAAGUCCCGCAACGAGCGCAACCCUUGUCAUUAGUUGCCAUCAUUAAGUUGGGCACUCUAAUGAGACUGCCGGUGACAAACCGGAGGAAGGUGGGGAUGACGUCAAGUCAUCAUGCCCCUUAUGACCUGGGCUACACACGUGCUACAAUGGACGGUACAACGAGAAGCGAACCUGCGAAGGCAAACGGAUCUCUUAAAGCUGUUCUCAGUUCGGACUGUAGGCUGCAACUCGCCUACACGAAGCUGGAAUCGCUAGUAAUCGCGGAUCAGCACGCCGCGGUGAAUACGUUCCCGGGCCUUGCACACACCGCCCGUCA
rnacentral:rRNA from 1 species